GAAAUGCGAUAAGUAAUGUGAAUUGCAGAAUUCAGUGAAUCAUCGAAUCUUUGAACGCACAUUGCGCCCGCCAAUAUUCUGGCGGGCAUGCCUGUCCGAGCGUCAUUUCAACCAUCAAGCCCCCGGGCUUGUGUUGGGGACCUGCGGCUGCCCGCAGGCCCUGAAAACCAGUGGCGGGCUCGCUGUCACACCGAGCGUAGUAACAAUCACCUCGCUCAGGGCGUGCUGCGGGUUCCGGCCGUUAAACAGCCUUACAAAACCCAAGGUUGACCUCGGAUCAGGUAGGAAGACCCGCUGAACUUAAGC
rnacentral:misc_RNA from 1 species